AGUUAUUUAGCUUAAAUAAAGUAAUUAUUUUGAAAAUAAUAGAUAGAGAAAUUUAAUAACUU
rnacentral:tRNA from 1 species